AGCCUAGGUACCGAGCCAUGACGGCAGGCUCAACAAAAAGAGUGGACCAAAGCCCCACCUCAGCAGCUCAGGAGGAAAGAAAAGAAGGGAAACUCCUCCGGCUGUCUGUGCCGCGCGAUAAUAGCACAGGCAAAUGUUGUAAAUAUUGUUGGGGAAGAUUUCUCCAUAGCUACGUUAGACAAUCUGAGUUCACUUCUGCUUUUUUUUUUUUUUUUUUAAGUUUGCAACGUGUUAUUGAGAAAGCAAACAUUGUCAAAAGAUGUGUUUGCUUCCAAAAAAUACCCCCCACAAUGCAAAUUGGUGAAGGAAGAACAAAUCAUAAGAUUGUUCACAGUUGAAGUGGAAGACAUCCUAUCAAAAACCCAUGCAAAGCUGUCUGCGACUCCACCUUUUCAACAGUGUUAGCCUAAAUGAAGUCGGGAUAGCUUUUCUGUAGCAACUACUGCGAAAAAUACAGCAAAUAACUAACAGAUAGUACUCAUUUAAACACAUGCAUCAAUAAUAUGUAGGAACGUUUAAGGUUACAUGUUUUGAAUUUAAAAUAAUUGCAGCUAGAUCCGUAACACUCAUAAACAUGAAGACAUUAAAGAUAUUGAUUUACGUUUCCCACCAGAUUUAGCAGAGAUUCGAGCAGCAGUUCGGGUGAAUAAACUGUCCUUUUCUGUUUCUACCAGCGAAUGUUUAGGGGUCGCCGCUGUUGGACAGCAGGCUGAAACUCGUGAUAAAAACAUCCGUUGUAUUUGCCAUCCCAGCCUUUUUACUGACGUUGCACGUUUCGCGAGAGGCAAAUAUGUACACGCCUUCUACACAAACCUCGCUCUGAGCAGAAACAGCGAGUGCCAAACGUUAAAAUGUGGAGUUUCUAUUAAACAAACUUGUAUUUAA